rnacentral:rRNA from 1 species
GAUGAACGCUGGCGGCGUGCUUAACACAUGCAAGUCGAGCGAGAAACUUAUAACGGAACCUUCGGGUGAAGUUAUAAGUGGACAGCGGCGGACGGGUGAGUAACGCGUGGGAAAUCUGCCUUAUGCAAGAGGAUAGCCUCGGGAAACUGGGAUUAAUACUCUAUAAAACUCUAGUACGGCAUCGUACAUGAGUCAAAACUCCGGUGGCAUAAGAUGAUCCCGCGUCCCAUUAGCUAGUUGGUGAGGGUAAUGGCCCACCAAGGCGACGAUGGGUAGCCGGCCUGAGAGGGUGAACGGCCACACUGGAACUGAGACACGGUCCAGACUCCUACGGGAGGCAG